UACGGAGGGGGCUAGCGUUGUUCGGAAUUACUGGGCGUAAAGCGCGCGUAGGCGGCUUUGUAAGUUAGAGGUGAAAGCCCAGGGCUUAACCCUGGAAUUGCCUUUAAGACUGCAUCGCUAGAAUCGUGGAGAGGUGAGUGGAAUUCCGAGUGUAGAGGUGAAAUGCGUAGAGAUGCGGAGGAACACCGAUGGCGAAGGCAGCCCCCUGGGCUGACACUGACGCUCAGGCACGAAAGCGUGGGGAGCAAACAGG
rnacentral:rRNA from 1 species